UAUCCUGGCUCAGGAUGAACGCUAGCGACAGGCUUAACACAUGCAAGUCGAGGGGCAGCGGGGGCGUAGCAAUACUGCCUGCCGGCGACCGGCGCACGGGUGAGUAACACGUAUGCAACCUACCCUUGUCAGGGGGAUAAGCCGGAGAAAUCCGGUCUAAUACCGCGUGACAUCGGGAUUCCGCAUGGGAUUCCGAUCAAAGGAUUUAUCCGGACAAGGAUGGGCAUGCGGCGCAUUAGCUAGUUGGCGGGGUAACGGCCCACCAAGGCGACAAUGCGUAGGGGUUCUGAGAGGAAGGUCCCCCACACUGGUACUGAGACACGGACCAGACUCCUACGGGAGGCAGCAGUGAGGAAUAUUGGUCAAUGGGCGAGAGCCUGAACCAGCCAAGUCGCGUGAGGGAAUAAGGUCCUAUGGAUUGUAAACCUCUUUUGUCGGGGAGCAAUGAGCGUCACGUGUGAUGCGUUGAGAGUACCCGAAGAAAAGCAUCGGCUAACUCCGUG
rnacentral:rRNA from 1 species